rnacentral:rRNA from 1 species
UGGGUAACCUGCCCCGAUGACCGGGACAACCCGAGGAAACUCGGGCUAAUACCGGAUGAGCUGCCCUCACACCAGUGGGGGUCGGAAAGGAAGCUUCGGCCUCCGCAUCGGGAUGGGCCCGCGGCCCAUUAGCUUGUUGGUGAGGUAACGGCUCACCAAGGCUGCGAUGGGUAGCUGGUCUGAGAGGACGAUCAGCCACACUGGGACUGAGACACGGCCCAGACUCCGUACGGGAGNAG